rnacentral:rRNA from 1 species
CCUACGGGUGGCAGCAGUGGGGGAUAUUGCACAAUGGGGGAAACCCUGCUGCAGCGACGCCGCGUGUGGGAAGACGGUCCUCUGGCUUGUAAACCACUGUCCCCAGGGACGAAGAUGACGGUACCUGGGGAGGAAGCUCCGGCUAACUACGUGCCAGCAGCCGCGGUAAUACGGGGGGAGCGACCGUUGUCCGGAAUUACUGGGUGUAAAGGGAGGGUAGGCGGGGAUGCAAGUUGGGGGUAAAGACUACCGGCUAAACUGGGAGGCGCACACAAAACUGCAGCUUUUGAGGGAAGGAGAGGCAGGCGGAAUUCCUGGUGUAGCGGUGAAAUGCGUAGAUAUUAGGAGGAAGACCAGUGGCGAAGGCGGCCUGCUGGGCUUUAACUGACGCUGAGGCUCGAAAGUGUGGGGAGCAAACAGGAGUAGAGACCCCAGUAGUC